CAAUAAUGUUCAACAAAGUAAGAUUUACAAAUAAGUCAACAUGACUGAAAUGGUCAAUUGACCCCCUAAGGAGUUAUUGUCCUUUAUAGUCAAUUUUUAACAAUUUUCAUAAAAUUUGUAAAUUUUUACUAACAUUUUCCACUGAAACUACCGGGCCAAGUCCAUUAUAAAAAGAGAUAAUUGUAAGCAGCAAGAAUGUUCAGUAAAGUAAGAUGUACAAACACAUCACUAUCACCAAAAC
rnacentral:lncRNA from 1 species